UUCAAACGGAUUGACAAACAGCUAGCCAGUCUCACGACAUUGGAUUUGGAAUCUGUUUCUCCUGAGUUGCUGUUGUGCCGUGACUUGGAGCUAGCAGUUCCUGGAACAUAUCGUGCAGAUGCCCCCGUCGUGACGAUUGCAUCGUUUUCACGCCAACUUGUUGUCAUAAC